rnacentral:tRNA from 1 species
UCAUGGUUAGUUCAGUUGGUAGGGCGGCUCCACUGAAAAUGCAGAGGUUCCUGGUUCGAUGCCAGGACCACGCG